rnacentral:lncRNA from 1 species
GUUGUAGUUAAGCUCGUGUAACGGCGGCGGUGUCGGCAGCUGCUGUAGCGAAGAGAGUUUGGCGCGAUGUCUCACACCAUUUUGCUGGUACAGCCUACCAAGAGGCCAGAAGGCAGAACUUAUGCUGACUACGAAUCUGUGAAUGAAUGCAUGGAAGGUGUUUGUAAAAUGUAUGAAGAACAUCUGAAAAGAAUGAAUCCCAACAGUCCCUCUAUCACAUAUGACAUCAGUCAGUUGUUUGAUUUCAUCGAUGAUCUGGCAGACCUCAGCUGCCUGGUGUAAGUAUUAGCCAACAUGUCUUUUAUCUUGUAUUUUCUAUUGCUUUUCUGUCUGUUUGAGGUGAUUUAUGGUAUUGGGAGCUAAUUAUGUGCCUGAUACUGAUCUUUGCAUUUGCAUAGUGUAUAGUAAUUAAUAUUUCUCUUACAGAAAUAAGAGAUUGGCAACAUAAAGCCAAAGGCACAGAAAAAAAUAACUUUGCUAAUUGAUAUAGUUAGUAUCCAGAAAGGAUCCUAAUUCAGAAGUUCCAUGUGCCUCUUCUUUGUUCCUUAUACCUAAUUUUUUUUUUCCUUUACAGUCUUUGUCUUAA